rnacentral:rRNA from 1 species
GAUGAACGCUGGCGGCGUGCCUAAUACAUGCAAGUCGAGCGAACGGACGAGAAGCUUGCUUCUCUGAUGUUAGCGGCGGACGGGUGAGUAACACGUGGAUAACCUACCUAUAAGACUGGGAUAACUUCGGGAAACCGGAGCUAAUCCCGGAUAAUAUUUUGAACCGCAUGGUUCAAAAGUGAAAGACGGUCUUGCUGUCACUUAUCGAUGGAUCCGCGCUGCAUUAGCUAGUUGGUAAGGUAACGGCUUACCAAGGCAACUAUGCAUAGCCGACCUGAGAGGGGGAUCGGCCGCACUGGAACGGGAACACGGACCAUACUCCUGCGGGAGGCAGCAGUAUGGAAUCGUCCGCAAUGGGCGAAAACCUGACGGAGCAACGGCGCGUGAGUGAUGGAGGUCUUCGGAUCGUAAAACUCUGUUAUUAGGGAAGAACAUAUGUGUAAGUAACUGUGCACAUCUUGACGGUACCUAAUCAGAAAGCCACGGCUAACUACGUG